rnacentral:lncRNA from 1 species
AAUAAUAGGAUGCUUUCAUAUAUUAUAUAGACAAAACACCAGUAUCACAACGUUGUUUAUACUUUUUCUAAGAAAAGAACAUAGCAUCUAUUAAAAAUAUAUUGUAUUUUCCAAUAGUCCCUAGCUAAAUAAUAGUCAAUUUGUUAACUUGCAAAGUCUUCAAAUCUUGCAUCUCUUGAAAAUCCUCAAACCCUGAAAAAAUGUAGACAUAAUUUCUCUUUAGAAAAACUAUAAAGUUCGAAUUAAAAAAACUGUUAAAAACUUACUCUAUUAAUACAAGUUUAGCAGUGGCUUAGACGCUUACCAGAAUAAAGUUUAAAUUCAGAAAUGAUAAGUGUAUAUACUUCAAAAAUUAAACACCAACAAGAAGGGGCUGCAAGAAUACAAACAAUGACGAUUAGGAAAAACAUGUAUAUAGAGGUGAUAAUUUUUUUAAUUCUAGAACAGUAACUUAUCUGAGUAAUCAACAUCAAUACUAUAAUUCAAAUCAAAGAUGUUCUAAUUGAUUUUGAUAUGAGAAAGCACAACAUCCUAGUUGCAGAGAAAACUUGAGAUGAAUGAUAAACAACUUUAUGUGAGCUUUUAUUUAGUUUUAAAAAUUUCGAUAGGAUAUUCAUUUUUUCAUAAUUAUGAAGGAGAACAUCUUAUACUUGUUUCAUUCUUCCUACCAUUAAAGCUUCUCUUAGUUUAUUUGUUCAUAGAACCAAAGCUCUUCUCCUAAGGCAAAUGAAUAACAAUAAAGAUGAAUGGCAUAACAUACACAAUCAAAUGUUAUAUAUAUAUAAGAAAAUAAACGUGGAGAAUGAGUUUCACAAUAAAAACUUUUUUGAAGUAUAAAAUAAAUAAAUAAAAAAGGCGAGAAGAAGGGAGGUUUUGUGUGAGAAAGUAAAAAUUAGCGGGGUGUAUAUUCUAAUGUCUUAAAAGACAUUAUGAAGCAGCAUUUCAACCAAUAGUUAUACAUUCCCAAAGCUCAUAAGCUAAAUAAUGACUCCAUCGUUGCACUAGAAUCAAAUUUCAGAAGAAAAGAACUCAGUGAUUUGUUUUCUCUGAAGAACACCCAUAAUUGAGGAGUACAUGAAUAUUCCAACCUUGUAAACGUGAUGCGAAGCAUAUAAACACAUGAACAUCAUAUUCAAGAAUGUCAUUCUAGAGACAAAUAAUUAUAAAAUAGUCUAGAGAAGAAUAAAAUUUUCACUUGAUUUUUCAUAAAUAUGAAGGUUAUCAAUUAUGAAAUAGACAAAAACAACAAAUAAAAAAAGGUUGCUGGUUUGUUAGAACAAAUUAAAACUUCAAGAUACUAGUGAGAAUUUUUCAACUGCUAAUCAACUGUUCAAGUUCUGUAUGAAAUAAAUAUUUGUAUAACUUAAUUUUUCUGGUUCAGUAGUUCUUUAAAUUCAUUUAGUAAUACCUGAGUUCAAUAAGACUCCAUAUUGUAAUGGACUUAUUCUAUUUAGAGGGUGUUUGAAUUGACUUAUUUUAAGUGUUUUUGAAUUUUAAGCUCUUUUUCCAUUUUUUGUGGUGUUUGGAAAAGAUAAAAAAGAAAAUCAAACUUGAUAAAAUGGCAUGUUUAGUAUCUCUAGCAAAACUCCAUUACUGAUCAUGCAGUAAGUCUUCAGAGGGUUCAAACAUUUAUCCAAUGGCAUAAUAAUCAAGACAGCAUAUAAAUGAGCCCUUUUGUUAAGAGUAACAGUAAACAAAUCUCAGUAUCAAAACAAAACUUCAGAUAUACUUGGCUUUAAUAAACAAAUAGCACACAAGGAAAGGACCAAAUUCAUAUAAUAUAAUAAUAAUAAAAAAUACACAUGAAUUAUAAAAUAAAAAAGCUAGUAUAAAGCCAUAUAUAAUUCUUAUGGGAAUCUAUCCAUACAUCUAUUGUGAUAAUCUUUGUAUAGUAGUAUAAGAUAUCACAGAAGCUGCAAUAAAGAUGGUACUAGUAUAGAUGUGCUACAUCUUAUUCGCACCGUAUAAUACAUUAUCAUUCAUUGAAUGACUUGUUUUGUGUUGUAUAUAGUAUAUAGAAAGUAUUAACAAGGAUUUUUCACUCACUAUAUCUUUUACUACCAGGCAUAGAGUAAACUUAUGAUCAAAGUCAUCAUUACAGUUCACAGACUAUUACAAAACGACUGUUCGAAGAGAAAAUACAACUAGCUAAGUACUGAGUCUUGUUAUUCAUUCAUGUUGUCCAAAAUUCAAAAAUCUAAUUCAGAUCCUUCAUCAAAAAUGACUUAUAUCUUAUGAUUUAUGACAACCUUUUGUGUUAUGAUUUCAUUACCAUGUUUCACAUCGUCACCCAACCCAUAUCCCUAGAGGAGUCACCGUUACAUCUUAGAAUCCUAGUUCAUUUAUUCGUCUUUCAUCCAAAAAUAAAUCUUUCUAUUUUUGUUUUUUAAAUAAAUGUAAAUCGUCAUUAUUAUGUAUAUUCGUUCAAUAGUCUAACACCAUAUCAUCAUCUGCCUCUGUUUUUGUAAAACUCUUAGAGCCUUAGCAGGUGCAAUUAAUGGAAUAUGCUACCAGGCCACUAAUCCUCCAUAAACAACCUAUUUCUAUUCGGAAGUUCGGAUAUUACUUAUUUGCACACAAGAGAAAAAUAAAGCAGUGUGAAUAACAGUAUAUACUUCAAUUGUACUUAAAAUAUACCUUUUAACAUGCCAAUAAAAUGCUUAAUAGAAGCAAUUUUACAGGACUUGAUUUGAACAAGAUAUGGGUGCUUUUCGUGCAGAUUCAUAGGUGUUACUCUUUCAUCCAUUUGAGGUUUUGUUCAUCUGCAACCAGAAUUAUUAAAAAAUAGGGUGAUUAAAAAACCAAACUUUAACAUGAAAUCUAACUUUAGGAAUACCCUAAAAAAUAUAUUAAGUUACCUCAAUAAAGAGAUUAAUCUAGUUGGACCAAAUUAAACAACCUAUACAUACUAGCUGCUAUAGGACAAGCAAAUUAUGAUUCUGUAAACAAAAAAUCAAAAACACCAAAAGAAAAUGCACUAACCAAGAAGAAAAGCUUUGCAUUUGUGAUAACCAGUGACCGACAUAGCGGAAUAACGGCAUACAUCAAUGGUGGAGGAAAUAAAUCUUCACUUUGAUUGAGGAAACGGGCAAGAAAAUGGCAGUGAAAACCAAAGAAUAGAGAGAUAUCGCCGCUUUGGUAACAAAAAGACGAGUUUAGGG